UGGGGAAUCAUGGUCAAUGGGCGAAAGCCUGAACCUGCGACGCCGCGUGAGUGAUGAAGGUCGUAAGAUCGUAAAACUCUUUUCAGGGAUCUUAAAGCCUGUCUGUCAACAACAGGCAGGUCUGACUCUCCCUGGAAGAAGCCCCAGCCAACUACGUGCCAGCAGCUGCGGUAAUACGUAGGGGGCGAGCGUUAUUCGGAAUUACUGGGUGUAAAGGGUAUGUAGGCGGCCCUUCAAGUCGCGUGUCAAAGUCCAGUGCUCAACGCUGGGUGUGCGCGCGAUACUGACGGGCUGGAGGGCUGGAGAGGUGAGCGGAAUUCCCGGUGGAGUGGUAAAAUACGUAGAGAUCGGGAGGAACACCAGCGGCGUAGGCGGCUCACUAGACAGUUUCUGACGCUAAGAUACGAAAGCGGGGGGAGCAAACA
rnacentral:rRNA from 1 species